GUGCUUAACACAUGCAAGUUGAACGCUGAAGCCUGGUGCUUGCACCGGGUGGAUGAGUGGCGAACGGGUGAGUAAUACGUGAGUGUCCUGCCUUUGACUCUGGGAUAAGCCUGGGAAACUGGGUCUAAUACCGGAUGCGACUACUGCCCGCAUGGGCUGCUGGUGGAAAGGGUUAUGUACUGGUCUUAGAUGGGCUCACGGCCUAUCAGCUGGUUGGUGGGGUAAUGGCCUACCAAGGCGACGACGGGUAGCCGGCCUGAGAGGGUGACCGGCCACACUGGGACUGAGACACGGCCCAGACUCCUACGGGAGGCAGCAGUGGGGAAUAUUGCACAAUGGGCGCAAGCCUGAUGCAGCGACGCCGCGUGAGGGAUGACGGCCUUCGGGUUGUAAACCUCUUUCAGCAGGGAAGAAGCGGAAGUGACGGUACCUGCAGAAGAAGCGCCGGCUAACUACGUGCCAGCAGCCGCGGUAAUACGUAGGGCGCCAGCGUUGUCCGGAAUUAUUGGGCGUAAAGAGCUCGUAGGCGGCUUGUCGCGUUUGCUGUGAAAGCCCGGGGCUUAACUCCGGGUGUGCAGUGGGUACGGGCAGGCUAGAGUGCAGUAGGGGUAACUGGAAUUCCUGGUGUAGCGGUGAAAUGCGCAGAUAUCAGGAGGAACCCCCAUGGCGAAGGCAGGUUAUUGGGCUGUUACUGACGCUGAGGAGCGAAAGCAUGGGGAGCGAACCGGAUUAGAUACCCUGGUAGUUCAUCCCGUAAACG
rnacentral:rRNA from 1 species